AGAGCAACAGGGAUUGCCCUAGUAACGGCGAGUGAAGCGGCAACAGCUCAAAUUUGAAAUCUGGCGUCUUUGGCGUCCGAGUUGUAAUUUGCAGAGGGCGCUUUGGCAUUGGCAGCGGUCCAAGUUCCUUGGAACAGGACGUCACAGAGGGUGAGAAUCCCGUACGUGGUCGCUAGCCUUUACCGUGUAAAGCCCCUUCGACGAGUCGAGUUGUUUGGGAAUGCAGCUCUAAAUGGGAGGUAAAUUUCUUCUAAAGCUAAAUACUGGCCAGAGACCGAUAGCGCACAAGUAGAGUGAUCGAAAGAUGAAAAGCACUUUGGAAAGAGAGUUAAAAAGCACGUGAAAUUGUUGAAAGGGAAGCGCUUGCAGCCAGACUUGCCUGUAGUUGCUCAUCCGGGUUUCUACCCGGUGCACUCUUCUAUAGGCAGGCCAGCAUCAGUUUGGGCGGUUGGAUAAAGGUCUCUGUCAUGUACCUCCUUUCGGGGAGAACUUAUAGGGGAGACGACAUGCAACCAGCCUGGACUGAGGUCCGCGCAUCUGCUAGGAUGCUGGCGUAAUGGCUGUAAGCGGCCCGUCUUGAAACACGGACCAAGGAGUCUAACAUCUAUGCGAGUGUUUGGGUGUCAAGCCCGAGCGCGUAAUGAAAGUGAACGGAGGUGGGAACCUUUCGGGGUGCACCAUCGACCGAUCCUGAUGUCUUCGGAUGGAUUUGAGUAAGAGCAUAGCUGUUGGGACCCGAAAGAUGGUGAACUAUGCUUGAAUAGGGUGAAGCCAGAGGAAACUCUGGUGGAGGCUCGCAGCGGUUCUGACGUGCAAAUCGAUCGUCAAAUUUGGGCAUAGGGGCGAAAGACUAAUCCGAA
rnacentral:rRNA from 1 species